ACGUAGGGUCCGAGCGUUAAUCGGAAUUACUGGGCGUAAAGCGUGCGCAGGCGGUCUUGUAAGCCAGAUGUGAAAUCCCCGGGCUCAACCCGGGAACUGCGUCCGAUACUGGUUGGCUUGAAUCCGGGAGAGGGAUGCGGAAUUCCAGGUGUAGCGGUGAAAUGCGUAGAUAUCGGAAGGAACAUCAGUGGCGAAAGCGGCUUCCCGGACCAGUACCGACGUUCAGGCACGAAAGCGUGGGGAGCAAACAGGA
rnacentral:rRNA from 1 species